GAUGAACGCUGGCGGCGUGCCUAAUACAUGCAAGUCGAGCGAACAGACGAGGCGCUUGCUCCUCUGACGUUAGCGGCGGACGGGUGAGUAACACGUGGAUAACCUACCUAUCAGACUGGGAUAACUUCGGGACACCGGCGCUAAUCCCGGAUAAUAUAUUGAACCGCAUGGUUCAAUAGUGAAAGACGGUUUUGCUGUCUCUUAUAGAUGGUUCCGCGCCGCAUUAGCUAGUUGUUAAGGUAACGGCUUACCAAGGCAACGAUGCGUAGCCGACCUGAGGGGGUGUACGGCCACACUGGAGCUGAGACGCGGUCCAGACUCCGACGGGAGGCAGCAGUAGGGAAGCGUCCGCAAUGGGCGAAAGCUUGACGGAGCAACGCCGCGUGAGUGAUGAAGGUCUUCGGAUGGUAAAACUCUGUUAUUAGGGAAGAACAAAUGUGUAAGUAACUAUGCGCGUCUUGACGGUACCGAAUCAGAAAGCCACGGCUAACUACGU
rnacentral:rRNA from 1 species